UGCCAGGACCUUACCUUGAGUGGCCCGGGUGCCGCCCUCUUCAGGCAGAGUUGGAGGUGCUGCGGAGAAGCCGGUGACCCUGCGGCUGCGAGUGAAGAGGCUGGUGCGCGUGCUGGACCCUGGUCCUGGGGGCACCGAAAGUCGAUCUCUUUGCCCUCCGUCAUCACCACAGUGAAGUACAUGUACUUGCCCUUGCGCUCCACGCAGUCUACAGUCUUCAUAUUGGAAAAGUGCAAUUCCUUCAGCUUGACUGGUGGCUCAAGGCUGGCGACGGUGGGGCCACUAGGUUGGGACGGUUCGGCCGUCCCCUGCCCGGGCUGUUGCUGCUGCUGCUGCUGUUGUAGCUGCUUGGGCGGUAUGAGCAGUAGCCCUUCCUCGGUGAGGAUGCAGCACUUUUUCUUCCAGAGCUGCAGCAGCCCGUCGCUUCGCUUUUCCAGCACUCCUUCCUUCAGCGCCUUGCAGCCGCUGUUCUCCAGCAUCCUUCCGGCAUAAGGGGUGCUGCUGCUCCGCUCGGCCUUCAGGCUUCCAGACGCUCCGGCUGGGGGUAGCAGUAGCAGCCCUGCGCCGUCCUCGCCCCAGCGGCUUCCGCGGCCGCCCGCCCGGAGCGCGCAGAGAAGGCUGACUCGCAGGAGACAGAGCGGUGGCGGCGGCGGCGGUGGCUCGGGGUCCCGGCAGAGGGACAGGCGCGUCCUGACUCGCCACAAGAUCCCGGAGCCGUGAGCGGGCUGCUCUCUGCCGUCC
ensembl:lincRNA Gm28592 predicted gene 28592